rnacentral:tRNA from 2 species
AGCUAGAUAGUUUAAUUUAAAAAUGGUUGAUUGUUAAUUAACAGAUAAGAAAUGUCUUUCUGGUUG